CUUGGUGGUUUAGCGUGAGUGAAACACUCGAUUCCAUUCCGAACUCGGAAGUGAAACCUCAUAGCGCCGAUGGUACUUUGUCUUAAGGCACGGGAGAGUAGGUCGCUGCCAAGC
rnacentral:rRNA from 1 species